rnacentral:rRNA from 1 species
GAAUUUUCCGCAAUGGGCGAAAGCCUGACGGAGCAAUACCGCGUGAGGGAGGAAGGUCCUUGGAUUGUAAACCUCUUUUAUCAGGGAAGAAGUUCUGACGGUACCUGAUGAAUAAGCAUCGGCUAACUCCGUGCCAGCAGCCGCGGUAAUACGGAGGAUGCAAGCGUUAUCCGGAAUUAUUGGGCGUAAAGCGUCCGUAGGUGGUUAUGCAAGUCUGCCGUUAAAGAAUGGAGCUUAACUCCAUAGGAGCGGUGGAAACUGCAAGACUAGAGUACAGUAGGGGUAGCAGGAAUUCCCAGUGUAGCGGUGAAAUGCGUAGAUAUUGGGAAGAACAUCGGUGGCGAAAGCGUGCUACUGGGCUGAAACUGACACUGAGGGACGAAAGCUAGGGUAGCGAAAGGGAUUAGAUACCCCCUGUAGUC